UCCGAAUUGGUGUAGUGGCCAACAUUUGACGCUCUCAUUCCAAGGAAAGUACCGUCAAGCCCGGGGUUCGAUUCCCCGAUUCGGAG